UGUGCAGAGCAACAAGAACAUGUCUUGACUUGUACCAGCUUGUCAAAAGGGAGUUAAGGCUUGUGGUCAGCACCAGUAACUGUAUUUGCAAUUUCAUCCAAAUGACCUGCGAGAGACGACAGCAGCAUACCAUCCACUGUAGAAUAUAUGGAUACUAGGACAAACUGAACUGAAGGUCUCAGCGCUGGAUUUCCCUUCUCUGGAAGAUCCCUGACUUCACCACGGCUCAUUGGUCUACUGAUGACAUGACCCUGAGAAAAAAGAAACGUAUCCAGAUGUCCUGGAGAAGAUGAGAGACCCUGUGUCAGCAGUGAGGUGUGUUUGCUCAGACUCCGAUAACGCCGAGGACAAAACGGAAUACUGUAUCAGCAGUUGCUGUAAAAAGGCUUCACUGGUGCCUCUCGCUCAGACUGAAGAGCAGGGAACGAAGAUAAUAUCACAUUCACUACUUAGCCCUUUCCUGACCUCAACCUGUUUUCGUAGGCAAAUGCUUAUUUCAAGAGCUAACAAGCAUGUGUGCGGAUGGCCGGCGCUCCAUCAUGUGGACUUUUAUUACAUGCCAUAACUUGUCACCAAACAGCACUGCAGUAAAAAAAAAAAUAGCUGGGUCACAGUAUCCCUUAUUGCUUCAGUAUGGGAUUUCGAGCGUCUGAUGACAGUGACUCAGCCUGGUGUGGUGCGCAGCUAAUGCUACAAACGCCUCUAGCGCAUUUGAAAACCCUGAUCUGAAUUUACUGUCCCCGGCAGCCACACAACUGUUUUUUCAGCAAUCUCUUUCACUUUUUAUUUAUUUUUAAUUGUGCCUCCACUUUUUCUUCCUCACUCUUCCGCUCUCCCCCGCACACGUUAACUCUCCCACUCUCUUCUAAGCCUUCUUGCUAAGCGAGCAGAGGCCCUUCUUCUCUGGCAGAGCCCUUAGGAGAGAAGCUGCCUGCCCAAAAUAGCUGCACUGUGGGGAAUACCAACAGAUAGGGCCUUCACACUGCUUGUGUAGGGAAACAACAAAUCAGGGACCGGGCUGACCAACCCCCACCACCACCACCCCCCAUCAUCUCACUCUGUACAACAUAUGACAAACACAUGCUAACGCCUGUGCUCUUUCACACACAUCCAUUCUCACAGUUUCUUACAGGCACAUAUAGGCUGAACCCUUUGAACCUAGAUUCCGCGUUUAUUUGAGAAUAAGUGAGUCACGGCUCUAUUUGCGGUGUAGAGGGUGAGCAUAGUUCAUUUAGUAAUAAAGGAAGGUGUGCUUUCCCCUCCCUGAGGUGUGGCAGCCUCUCAAACUCUCUCUCUCUUUCUCUUUUUAUUUUUUGUAAGAGUUGAGUCUUUCUUGUUCAGAUGUAAGCUUUAGAGGCUUGUUUACAUUGGAGGGACAGCAUUAGCAAGCUAGCGUUACUGUCGUAUACUGUAGUGUAGAGAGAGCUCUACGUCAGUGUAUCCUCAGGGUUUGUUUUUAUCUUGUGAUUAUUGAAGGAGACCUCUCACCUACCCUCAUCUCUUGGAAAGCAAAAGCAGAACAAAGACUUGUUCUUUAAGGGGAAAUCUACCGCUGUCCCCGGCUGUCAUACAAGUACUGUGUGUGGACAUUCCAUGAGCAGAGUAUUAAAGUGUCCAGAGCUCACCCGGCCGCAGGAGACAGGAGAGUUAUACGAGGAGCCUUUACAGUCACCGACAGCUGAUAGUGAGAGAUACUGAAGUGAUGGAAGAGAAGAGAGCAAGUGAGGGAUGAGGGCCGCUGCUGUGAGUGGUUCUUUGGCAGUGUCUUAGCUGGUUGUUGUGUGGAGUGAGAACGAAGCAAUCAGCAAGUAUACUGCCGCAGAAACUCGUCACCUUGGGAGGCCCAUCCAAAUGACCCCACUCACGCACUCAGCUGCCCACCCGCGCUCAGAGGCUGGUGAGAGAGACGACUAAAGAGAAUUAAUUUCUGAACUUCUCUUCCCAUUCAUUCUUCUUUUAAUUGUGAGUGUCAGCUUUUGUUUAUUGGCAACGCUGCUUGAGCACUCACAGCGACUUGAGAAUUUCACGUGAAAGACUGAUUCAUGCUUAUGGUAUGUUGGAUCUUAUUUUCCGUGACAUUGUAGUCAUAGUUUAGAUCAGUCCAUUUGUUUUCUUUCUUUCAUUUCCAUGAGAUCUGGAGUGAUUCAGUCAAGUGUUAUUGUGAAAAUCAGCUGACUAGAUUUCGCAGUUUCAGUAUUGCCAUGACAUGGUGUGGCCUGUUUAUAUUUGGCCUACGUAGCUUGCAGUCCUGUGACAUAUUCAUAUUGUGUUAUGGUGUGUUUAUUUUGAAAUUUGCUAAUGGACCAAAACAUUAAUCCUAAUUAUUAACCAAAAAUACUUUUCAUUCUGGUUUGGAAAAAAAAAUGUAGAAAAAAGUAUUGGGAAAUGGAAUAUAUAAAUAUAUGUGCGUGUGUGUGUGUGUUUAAUAACAAUAUAAAAUGUUUUGUUAUAUUUGUAUAAAUUAAUGUUUAUUUGAAACUUUUUUUUGUAGACUGUAUUUUAAUAGUAAUUAAAUAUGAAUGCAUUUUUUUCCAAAUAACAGUAAAAACAAAAUAAGAGUUUUUCAAAUGUUGUCGUUAUUGUCAUGUUUUAUUUCUCUAUUUCUAAUGCAUGUUUAGUCUUUAAAGUGGUUUUAAGUUGAGUUUCAUUUUCAGGGAAUUUCAUUAGUGUUGGGGUUUCAGUUAUUAAUCAUCAAAAGGGCAGUUUGUUCAGGUGAAUGAAAUGCCUGUAACUCACUUGAGGUUUCGAUUUAAUAACAUCAGUGUGGCAAUAAGUUUGAACUUGUCUGUACUCUGAAAAGCUGGAAAUCAAUUUAGUAAGUUCUUUUACAAUGUAUUAAAGCACUUUGUUUUAAAUAAUAUCCUAAAAGUGUGAUUAUAAUGCCAUGCAGGGUGUAGCCUUCACAAACUUAAUGCAAAGGUAUGUUGAACACCUUACACACGUAUAUAUUUUAAAUGAGCAAUUAUAGCAAAUUAAUCCAAAUUAACUGUAUGAAUAAUCUCAGAUAUUUGUCAGUUUAGUCACUUGCCUAGAUUGGAUCUCAACUGACAAUGUCAAUUCGUUUUUUUUAUGCACAGAAUGCAUGAUAAAUGCCUGGGGCAAACUCCCAACAAACAUCUCUAGUUGUUUCAGUUGUAUGAUUUACGCAGACAGUAUUUUGCAUUUUAUUCUAGUUUAUCUCUGGAGUCUGGAUUGUAUUAUGUCAGUGGCUCCGGAGUUUAAUUUUCAUGUAUUAUCUAUGAUAACGGAUCCAAACUGAACUUAAAAUUAUCAGUAUAUAAAAUAGAUGCUUUUACUUACAGUAGUCCUCCAUAAAUGUAUUAUACCUUUAAUUACACAACAUAUAAUACAAUAAAAUGUGUUACACAACAUAAUAAUAAACAAUACAUUUCAAAUAUAAUGA